AGCCGAGUGUGGCCCCAUCCGGUUAAGCUAGUCAAUUCCAUGCUGCCUGCUGCGCUCCCUCCCCCACGGCCCUGGGCAGCAGCUCCCCGCAAUCGAGAGUGGAAGCCGGAUCAAGGGAAUCAAUGCUCUGCAUCCAUUCAGUCAAUUGAAUGUGGUGCAGUUUAGGUUAUUUCUGCUGAAGGGAGGAUCCCCCGGCAGAGGUGGACGGCACAUGCAGGCUCCGAACGACGGAAGCCAACCCAUGAUGCUGAGUCCCCUGGAGCUAGGAGUGGUAAAAGCCCCUAGCCACUCCCCACCGACGGCGUUGACCCCAUCGUUCUAGCACCCUCUCGCCACUGUCCCAACCAAAACCCUCUGUGUACCCUUCCCUGUUGCUUCCCCCGGGAAACUGGCUCCGGCCAGCCGGGGGGAGAAACCAAGCAAAAACCCUUUUCGCAAAACAGACGUCUGAACGCAAAAAACAAAACAAAAAAAAGUUAAAACUUUCAACAACGGAUCUCUUGGUUCCCACAUCGAUGAAGAACGCAGCGAAAUGCGAUAAGUAAUGUGAAUUGCAGAAUUCAGUGAAUCAUCGAAUCUUUGAACGCACAUUGCGCCCUCUGGUAUUCCGGAGGGCAUGCCUGUUCGAGCGUCAUAAAUACCGCUCCCCCUCGGAUUGCUUGCGGUCCCUGGGGGGUUCUGGCAAUGUGGAUUCCCCGUGCUUUGAGGGCAUGCGAACGGGCUCCCAGUGCUGAAAGACAUAAUGUUCCCAGCCGAAACCGGUGAUUAAUUUCAUCGGCAGGAUUCGUGGCAGGCAGACUGAGGGCGUCAACCGUGGAGUCAUGAGGGUAGAAACCUCCCCCUUUGCAAGUAACAUUGCUCUGGCAGUUAGAUCUGCAGGCCUGCCGGUCUGGGGAUGGACCUCCCACUCGCAGGCGUCACGGCCACGAUAGCGGGCGUUAAACGGAAUCCGAUCCGCCCUCACGGGUGGUUGAAGAUCCUUGUGGGCUAGCAACCCCUAAACACAUUUUGACCUCGGAUCAGGUAGGAACCCCCC
rnacentral:rRNA from 1 species